UGGGCCAAAAGAGUGAGGUUAUUCUCCUGGAAGAAGUCCCUUGUCCUGCGGGCAUUGUGUACUGUAGCGUUGUCCUGUUGAAAAGCCCAGUCGUUACCACACAGACGAGGGCCCUCAGUCAUGAGGAAUGCUCUCUGCAACAUCUGGACAUAGCCAGCGGCCGUUUGACGCCCCUGCACUUCCUGAAGCUCCAUUGUUCCACUGAAGGAAAAAGCACCCCAGACCAUUAUGGCGCCCCCUCCACUGUGGCGUGUAGAAAACAUCUCAGGUGGGAUCUGCUUGUCAUGCCAGUAACGUUGGAAACCAUCAGGACCAUCAAGGUUAAAUUUUUUCACAUCAGAGAAUAAAACUUUCUUCCACCUUUGAAUGUCCCAUGUUUGGUGCUCUCUUGCAAAGUCCAAACGAGCAGUUCUGUGGCGUUCAAGGAGACAAGGUCUUUGAAGACGUUUUUUGUUUUUGAAGCCCUUCAGUCUCAGAUGCCGUCUGAUGGUUAUGGGGCUGCAGUCAGCACCAGUAACGGCCUUAAUUUGGGUCGAGGAUCAUCCAGUGUCUUGACAGACAGCCAAUUGGAUCCUCCGGCUCAGUGCUGGUGAAUUUUUUUUGGGUCUUCCACUUGACUUUUUUGUUCCAUAACCCUCAGGAUCAUUUAAGAAAUUCCAAAUGACUGUCUUACUGCGUCCCACCUCAGCAGUGAUGGCGCACUGUGAGAGACCCUGCUUAUGCAGUUCAACAACCCAACCACGUUCAAAAAGGGAGAAGUUUUUUUUGCCUUUGCCAUCAGAACAUGUGACUACCUGACAGAAAAUGACAUUGAAUCCACAUCUUUGCACAGAUUUGGCCUUUUAAAGGCAUGUGGUCCUAUACUUUUGAUCAGCUGUAAAACAGCCUGUUUCAGUUUAAUCGUUGUUUUCAUUAAAUUGCAUGCUCAACAAAUGUUUUGUCUCACUCCCAUUUCUUCUUGUUGCAUGUUGAAGCUCUACUUGGAACCUUGUUAAGAUCCAACCAUGCAAAGUAUGAUUUUUUGCCAUUUUUCAAGUGGUCUUAAACUUUUGAUCAGGACUGUAUAUAUAUAU